UUCUACCAGGUUAUAUACAACCAUGAGAAUCAUGUCUGUUGGGGCUUCAAAAACUAAAUCAACCCAAAUAUAUAACAAAAAGAAGCAUGAGAGAAGUGUGAAAAUCAAGAAUGGAGUUUUCAUUUUCUGAAUUCAAGAUUCCUCUAUUUUCAGAAGAUCAAAUGAGGAACUGUCACCGUGCAGGGAACAGCUGUUUUCUGUGGCAGAUGGGAAGAAGGGAUGUGGCCAAUGACAAUUAUCCCUUAAAGCUGUCCCCCAGAAUUGACACGUCACUUCUGCUCCUACCUCUUUGAAUGAACUAGUCUCAUGCCCAUGCUGACUCCAAGGGGCCAAGAGAUGCAAUCCAACUGUCUGACUGGGACGAACCAGGAAUGGUUUCUACAAGAAGAGGUGAUCAACUGAGAAAGAGAAUCAAUUACGGCGUCUCUCUCUAGUGAUGGAGACCCGACGUAGAGAACGGAAUGGUGUUGGUGUGGAGCCAGAAAGGCAUCUUCUGAAGUGCAGUUGGGGCUGAAAUGGUUACCUGUCCACUGUGACUCUUCCAUGUCUAUCCAUGCUCCUCAUCUGUUGGGUUGAGUCACUGUGGAGAAAUGGCUAAGGCACUAGCAUCUAUGUGAGCCAGACUCUCACCUCUAACCUGGGCAUCGAGAUGGGACCAUGGGAAUGAAGGCUUGCCAACGAAGUGCACAUAGAAUUCUCACAUUUCUCUUCUGGGCCAGGUGGCAAGAUAAGAGCGUGACUUCUGUUUUUGACUGAGUUGUGUUCCCCCAAAAUCCAUAUUGUUGGAGUCCUAACCCCAGGACCUCAGAAUUUGACUGUAUUUGGAGAUGGUGUUUUUAAAGAGGUGAUUAAAGUAAAAUGAGGUCAUCAGGGCCUGAUCCAACAGGAUUGGGGUCCUUAUGAGAAGAGGAAAUGAGGACACAGACACGCACAGAGGGAUGACCAUGUGAAGACACAGGGAGAAGACGGUGUCCACACGCCACGGAGAGUGGCCUCAGGAAAAACCAGCAGCCCUGCCCUCACGUGGAUCUCAGACGUCAAGCCUCCGGGAUGGUAAGACAUAAAUAUCUGUGGUUCUUGGUUAUGGCAGCCCUAGCAGGCUAAUGCACUUCUCCAUCCUCUCUCCUCUGAUUAAAUAUCCACAUCCUGGUGAACUUGGAGGCAAGGGUUACAGAUGUCAUAGCCACAAAAUGGAAGGAUGCAGGGUCCCUGAACCAGCUCUUGAGGAGCGUGACCAGCCAACCAGAAACAGCCAUUUUGGAUUUAACAACAGCUAUUUGUUAGCAUCACUGAGAUUUUGGAUUCAUUCGUUAAAGCAGCUCAGCAUUACCCUAACUAACAGAGCGUGUUCUCCAUGCACACGGCGCUCUGCUUUGGU
rnacentral:lncRNA from 1 species